ACCCUAUACCAGAGCUAAUGAGGAGAGCACAAGAAAUAAAAUACAGGCUAAGCUCAUUUAUAGAAAGAUACCAAUGUUCUACAUACAAUACUAGCAAAUCCAAUCUAGCAAUUUAUCAAAUGCAUAAUGAUCACAACCAAGUCAAGUGUAUUUCAGGAAUGAAAGGGUUUUCCAACACCAGAAUAUCUAUAAUGUAAUCCACCAGAGACGUGAAAUAAAGGAGGAAGAUGAUACGAACACUAACUUGGUGGAUGCCAUAGAAGCAUUUCUAUGUGGUCUGUCCAUACAAUGAGAAAUUAUUCGGCCAUAACAAGGAAUGAUGUACUGAUACAUAAUACAGCAUAGAGGAACCUUGAAAACACACUAUUGAAAGAAGCUAGACACAAAAGGUCACAUAUAGUAUGAUUCCAUUUCUAUGAAAUGUCCAGAAUAGUCAGAUGUAUGGAGACAUAAUUAUUCUAUACCAGCAAUAACAAAAAAACUCCUCAACCCAGUGAGGUUCCAGAAAUGCAGGCAUGGUCCAUUAUUAGGAAUUGUACCAGCUGGGCGCGGUGGUUCAUAAGUAUGUGCUUAAAAGACAUGUAAGAAUAUACUAUAAAAUCAAAAAUGUUAAUACGUUAACAACUACAAAAUCUUUAGAUUAUAAGGAGACUCCAAUUCCAAAUCGUAGAACAAAGAUUCUGGUUACAACCAGGAUGGUUACCGUGGUUUACACUUUGGGGGGAACUGGAACACUCUGAGCCAUCCCAAAGUGAUGAUGUGCCAACAAACGAACGAUUUGAUUAUAUAAGUAACACACAUUCACUGUAGAAAAAGUAGAGACUAGCAAGAAGCAA
rnacentral:lncRNA from 10 species